GGCUGGGAAGACAGCCAUGCUGGUUGAAAAUAAGGAGGUAAUGGAGGGCCUUUGAAACAGGACAUUCAACGAAAUAAGGGGGCUGACUAUGCCCAAACAAAAGUUGAGUUUGAAAUAACUGCCACCACAAAGGCUGACACGCAUUGGGACUGAGGUCAUAAUAAGGAAGUUUAUUUACUUCUGGAAGCAUUACUAUUUCCCCCAGCCUAAGAUGUUGGUUGCCAUCGUAAAUAUCCUGCUUUCUAAUAAAAGAAAAUGAUAUUUUAGAACCAAAUAGUGUGAUACACGUGCAUAGUCAGAACUUCACUGGUUUAUGUGCAGAGUAAUGAAAGCUAGUUUCUCCAGAUAGUAAAUUUCAAAUUGUGUCCCCUGUCUGACUGUAUUCUUUUAUCAUCCUCUAGUCCACCCACUAAUGAAUUGACAACAGCAAACCCAGAGGCACGUAUCAAUGAAAGUCCCCAUCCUGAUGACCUGGUGGAAGUCGUCAUCGAUACAGACACCGACGACAUGUGAGUUAUAAAGGAUGUUCACACUAACAUAGAGAUACAAACAAAACAGUGACAGAG
rnacentral:lncRNA from 1 species